rnacentral:lncRNA from 1 species
UAAUUUUUAUGCAUGUUGUUGAUCAUGUAUGGGAUUAUACAGGUUUACAGGUUUUAUGUCAGGCUUGCUACGGGUCCCGGCGGCCUUAAGUCGACCCGGAUCCUAGCGCCGGUAGCGGUCCGAUUUUCGGGUCGUUACAGAAUGGUAUCAGAGCCCUAGGUUCAUAUGGUCGGACCUAGAGUGUCGGGCUCAUAGAUGUUAUAGAAGGUCAAGCACAAUAGGAAAAG